rnacentral:tRNA from 1 species
GUUGUUCAGUGGUAGAAUGUUCGCCUGCCACGCGGGCGGCCCGGGUUCGUUUCCCGGC